CGGGUGCCCAGGGUUCUAGAAUUUUUUGCCGUGAAGAUUCUGUUGCGCUUGGAUUCAAGUAGACAAUGGACACAGGAAAAGGGAAAAACUGUCUGGCCAUAUCUUGCACCCCUGGACCUAGACCCAGCAUCGGCCCCUCCUACAACAACCCUGCUCUUGGGGAAUGCAGAAAAAGGGGUGCUCAGGGACAUGAGGAGAGGCACACAGCUUUGUCAAAAGAGCCACUCACACGUCAAAAUCAUGCAUGUACCUGUCAACAGGAGACUGCAUUGACAAACUGGUAUAUCAUGCAAAAAAAAAAGCACACAGCCACGCCCACGAAGGCACUCCCACGGACACGAGCGUGUGUCCACAGCGCACAGGGAUACAGCUGAACACAAGAAGCCACCUGCGCGGUCUGGUGGAGGAGAAAGAACGCACCUCAAACACACCACAAACUCCCACGCGGACAGGGAGCACGUCCC